rnacentral:rRNA from 1 species
GCUAGUCCGGGUGGCUCGGCGUCACCUGUAACCCGAGAUCGCCGAUAUGCGGGGGACGAAGC